GUCCAGGCUGGAGAACUUCAAUGUUUGAAGCAUCGAUUCCCUCCCUAGAGAGUGGAUUCUGUGAGGGCAGGGACUAUGUCUCGUUCACCUCUGUGUCCCUCAUAUCUAGCGUAGUGCCUGAGCAGAUAGGUAUUCAAUACAUGGGGGCCAGGCACAGUGGCUCACACCUGUAAUCCCAGCACUUUGGGAGGCCAAGGCAGUCCAUUGCUUGAGCUCAGGAGUUCGAGACCAGCCUGGGCAACAUGGCAAAACCUCGUCUCUACAAAAAAAAAAAAAAAAAAAAAUUAGCCGGGCGUAGCGGCGCACGCAUGUAGUGUCAGCUAUUCAGGAGGCUGAGGUAGGAGAAUUGUUUGAGCCUGGGAGGUGGAGGCUGCAGUGAGUCAAGAUCAUAUCAUUGUACUCCAGCCUGGGUAACAGAGCCAGACCCUGUCUCAAAAAAAAAAAAAAAAAAGUAUUCAAUACACAUUUGUUGGAUGAACAAAUGAACUAUCACCAUGAAGGGUUAAAGUCCUUACUCAUCUAUCAUAAGCCUCAGUUUCCUCUGCAAAAAGGUAAUAACAAGCUUAUAAGUGAUUUUACACACACACACACAGAUACAAAAACACAUGUAAAGUACCCAGCUGGAGUCUGAUGUGCUGCAGGUACACCAUGGCUAGCUGUGGUUGUUGUUAUGAGAAGACUACUUCCUAACUGGUCUGCAUGUCAUUUAUAGCAAAAUUCGCAUUAGUGAAUGUGCACGUAGGCCUUUAGAAGAAAGGGGCUUGAUUCUUCUUCCAGGGUAGAGAUUCAGGCAGGAAGGCAAUAGGAGCCCCUCCCCUGCCCAACCUUCAGGGGUAGAGGCAGCUAAACCGUUGUGGAAGCGCGUGUUGCCUUUUUCCAUCAGAGAGAUGGGGGGAAACUGGGGCCUUGUCUGUACCUCCUAAAAGAGCCCCUCUGCCCUGCAGGUCCCCUUCACCCUUGGCUGUCUGCUCUCAAGGCACUCUGGCUGCUUUCUACCCCUCAUGUUAUCUCCCCGAAGGCCAUCUGCCUUCCUUCCUUUUUAAAAAAAAAUCUUAAUUAUUGUAUUACAUUUAAUCACCAAGUCGUGAGUAAUAAGAUCCUGAAAGGACUGGUGGGGACUCUCCAAGCCAGACUGAAUCUCACAAAGGAAAAAAAAUUAAACAAAACAAGGGAGCCACUCACAGAGCCCCAGACACACACUUACAUACUUUCUCACACAUACACAUACACGCGGAGUCUUAAACACUAAAGAUGUACAAGGAGCACAGGUACCAAACACACAUGCACACACUAGACACAAUACACAAACACACAUGAACACACUAGACACAAUACACACAAACACACAUGCACACACUAGACACCAUACAAACACACAUGCACACACUAGACAUAAUACAUACAAACACACAUGCACACACUAGACAUAAUACAAACACACAUGCACACACUAGACAUAAUACAUACACACAUGCACACACUAGACACGGUAUACACAAACACACAUGCACACACUAGACAAUACACAAACACACAUGAACACACUAGACACAGUACACACACACAUGCACACACUAGACAAUACACAAACACACAUGAACACACUAGACACAACAUAUACAAACACAUGCACACACUAGACACAAUACACAAACACACAUGAACACACUAGACACAAUACAUACAAACACACAUGCACACACUAGACACAAUACACACACAUGCACACACUAGACACAAUACACAAACACACAUGAACACACUAGACACAAUACAUACAAACGCACAUGCACACACUAGACACAAUACACACAUGAACACACUAGAUACAAUACACACAAACACACAUGCACACACUAGACACAAUACACUAUUUCCAAUACAAGUAUCUGCACACACACACAGAUACACAUAUAGCUAAUAAAAAACCCCAACCAAGCAGUGUGCACUCACACACACGAACUUACAGGAGGCCUGACGACUGUAUUUCAAACUUCACCUCCCAACCCAAGUCCAAAAUCUGUCUCCAAUUAUCUGGCCCGUGUUGAGAGCAACAGGAAAUCCAGAGCUGCCUCUGUCUUCUGCGGGAGAUGGCGGGAUUUCAGUCAUCUCUCCAUCGUAGAAAAACAAAAGCCUUCUGGCCUUGCCUCCC
rnacentral:lncRNA from 10 species